rnacentral:rRNA from 1 species
GAUGAACGCUGGCGGCGUGCCUAAUACAUGCAAGUAGAGCGAAGCGGGGAGGGGUGAGAAACAUGUGGAUAACCUCCUAUAAGACUGGGAUAACUGCGGGAAACAGGAGAGAAACCGGAAACUAUUAGAUGGAUCUGCGAUGCAUUAGCUAGGUGGUAAGGUAACGGCUUACCAAGACAACGACGCAUAGCCGACCUGAGAGUGUGAUCGGCCACAAUAGAGCUUAGACACAGUCCAGACUCGUAUGGGAGGCAGCGGUAGGGAAUCUUCCGCGAUGGGCGAAAGCCUGACGGAGCAACUCCGCGUGAGUGAUGAAGGUCUUCGGAUCGUAAGACUCUGUUAUUAGGGAAGCGUUGCCUAUUCAGAAAGCCUGGGCUAACUACGAGCCAGCAGCCGCGGUAGUUC